CAGUCGCCGCGGGAAUACGUAGGGUCCGAGCGUUGUCCGGAAUUAUUGGGCGUAAAGGGCUCGUAGGCGGUUUGUUGCGUCGGGAGUGAAAACCCAGGGCUUAACUUUGGGCUUGCUUUCGAUACGGGCAGACUUGAGGCAUUGAGGGGAGAACGGAAUUCCUGGUGUAGCGGUGAAAUGCGCAGAUAUCAGGAGGAACACCGGUGGCGAAGGCGGUUCUCUGGCAAUGUUCUGACGCUGAGGAGCGAAAGUGUGGGGAGCGAACAGGAUUAGAUACCCCGGUAGUCCCUGUCUCUUAUAC
rnacentral:rRNA from 1 species